GCUGCCGGUCUGCAGCAGGAUCUCUAUCGCUUUUUUUGGCGGCAGUGCCAAAUCGGCUAAUGGCGCUAGUAAAAUAUUAUUUUAAUUUAACUGAGAAAUGUCUACCUAGGCCUAGGCUUAGGCCUCGUAUUACCUAUUCUUUAAUGUCGGCAAUUUGAAUUAUCCCCAUGUCUGCUUUAUCUUCAAGGUACGAAGAUUAUAAAUAUUAUUUUCAAGUUGAAGACGUUAAAAUAGACGGGAGACUGCCGACAAUCGACGGAAAACAAAAACAAGAUACAUGAUUUUCAUUGAAAUGUUUUGUAUCCAACAACUAUCUUUACAGCAGAGAGGGAUUGCUUGGCACCUAUUCAACCUAUUAGUGUUCAUCUAAAAACCGACCAAAGACAAGAAUCCACCAAAAUCAACGUUAAUGGUUUUCUUUAAACUUAACCAAACAGAUACUUUUGGAAAAACACCUACAAUCUUGAUAUUCCAACGUGCUGAUGUUAUUUUACCAGUACUCAAAAAUCACUACUACAGAAGAAUUUAUAACCCGAUGUUGCAAUACAACAAUUCUUCAAUCUAUAAUAGGCCUAUAGAAAAUUCAAAAGUAACCAUGUUAACCCUCAAUAUUAUUGAUAAAGUAAAAACAAGUGUUUAAUUUUUAUUGGAAGCAUGUUUCCCAAGAUAAAGAAACCACACUUUCUUUCUAAUGUUUUUUUUAAUUGUUAAGAAAUAUGAGCAAAGUAAUUUUAUUUAGAAAUUAAUUAUAAGCACUUUUUUUAUUUGAGGCUGGAUAAUAUAGCAACACAAAUUUCUCUCAUCAGAAAUACCAAUACAUUGGGCUUUACACUAUAGAUUGUUAAAACCAACUUUAAAUUUGAAACACACUACAUUGAAUACAAUGAUGCGGGAAGCUUAAGUUGCUUAUAUCAGAGAGCUGAUAUUUACUUAAGUAAUAUUAAGUAAUAAACAAGAUAUAUGAAUAUGAUGAAAACCACUCUGCAGGGGUGGAUCCACUGGCGGGGGGGGGGGGGCACGUUCUCUCUCUUUUGACACUAAAUUUUUAAAAUUUCAAUGCAUGUCAGUGUUAUAUGUUACUCUCUUAUCUAUUCUGAAACUGUUGUGCCCCCCCUUUUGAAAAAUUCUGGAUCAGCCUGUGCUACGAGUUAAAAAGGUUUAAGAAACAAUUAUGUUGAAAAUACUUUUAUACUGCCCAAAAAAUUAAACGACGGCUACUGAUUAAACACAGACUUGAUCUGUAAUGAAAUUACAAUACAAAUAUUUCUAUUAUUUCUUUUAAUGCUUUCAUGACAUUCAUUCUGCCAACGAGAAUGGUGAAGAUGAUGAUUUCUUUCAAUUCUUUCAUGACAUUGAUUCUGCUAACGAGAAUGAUGAUGACGACGACAACUACAGCAGAAAGGCAUUUAGUUUUUAUUUCAGUUCAACCAGAACAACAACAAUGACAACUAGUACCAAUGUAGUACAGUACUAGUAGUAAAACUUCAU